UCUUAACCAAUGAACGCGCAGAGCAAGAUUCCAGACGAAGAGAUAAACUGACACAAAAUCACGAUAACCAACUUAACUGAAAAUGGCGCUACAGCUCCAAUUCCACCCUCUAUCGUCUUUUACCACAACCAAACCCUCUCAUCAUCAUAAUCGUCUCCUUCUUUCUAAAACCAAAUCUGAAUUCACAUUCGUCAAAUCUCAGAAAACCCCAAUCGACACUGAGUCUACUCAAGACUCACCCAAGAAACCAAAAUCCGUUUCACCUGGCCAAGGCUUUGGCUCCUCGUCUUCCACUUCUGGGAAUCCUACGCCCACUUCUGUCACUAAGAAAAGGAAAGCCAAGGGCAAAAGAGAGAACGCCUCGGUUAUUAGGAGGGCUCCAGUUCAGAAACCCGAAUUUGUAAGCCAAGAAGAGGAGGCUAAAGCUAAAGAAAUGAUGAAGAAUGAGAGCGCUUUUCUUCUUACUUGGUUGGGAAUGGGUGGGGUUAUUCUUCUUCAGGGCAUUACUCUUGCUGCCUCAGGCUUCCUACCAGAAGAGUUAGAUAAAUUCUUUGUGAAGUAUCUGUACCCAACUUUCACUCCAACAGUCGUCUUGUUUGUUGCUGGGACAGUUGCAUAUGGAGGGCUUAAGUACCUGCAAAAUGAGAAAGCCAAAGACCAAAAAUGAAUCACAGAUGAAGGCCGAUAGUUUCAGUUGUAAGUAAACUCAGGGACUUUUAGUGGCUUCUUCAAUUUCACCAGAACCGAGCCAAUCACUGCGCAGUAAAAUGAUGCAUAUUGGGGCAACAUUUUUUCUGUACAUCUUCACCCCUUUGUGAUAUGUUGUAAUUACUAAGGUAUAUCUGUUUACUGAAGCUUUGUUCGAGAGAAAUCUUUUUUCUUCCAAUGAAAAUAGAACAUAUACUUUUUCCAUUUAGCUGCUUUUUGUGAAGUAGGUAAGUCAUGAAAUUCUCUAAUUUGUGUGCUUAAAUUUUACUGCAAUUUUCAUUACCUUGGACCAAA